rnacentral:rRNA from 1 species
AACAAACGCUGGCGGCGUGUCUUAAGCAUGCAAGUUGAGCGGCAAGGAGGAGAGAUCCUCCCUAGAGCGGCGGACUGGUGAGUAACGCGUGGGUAAUCUAUCGUAGGCAUGGGGAUAGUCACUAGAAAUAGUGGGUAAUACCGAAUACGUUCCAUGAGGGGAGUACUUAUGGAAGAAAGGGUGCUACGGCACUGGCCUUAGGUGAGCUCGCGUCCCAUUAGCUAGUUGGUGAGGUAAAGGCCCACCAAGGCGAUGAUGGGUAGCCGGCCUGAGAGGGUGUACGGCCACACUGGGACUGAGAUACGGCCCAGACUCCUACGGGAGGCAGCAGCUAAGAAUAUUCCGCAAUGGACGAAAGUCUGACGGAGCGACGCCGCGUGGAUGAAGAAGGCCGAAAGGUUGUAAAGUUCUUUGCUAGGGGAGAAUAAGUGAGGGAGGGAAUGCCCUCAUGAUGACAAGGACUAGCGAAUAAGCCCCGGCAACUACGUGCCAGCAGCCCGG